GAUGAACGCUGGCGGCGUGCUUAAUACAUGCAAGUCGAGCGAACGGACGCUACGCUUGCUUUUCUCACGUUAGCGGCAGACGGGAGUGUCACACGUGUAACACCUCCCUAUAAGUCUGGUAUAACUACGGGAAACCGGCGCUAAUACGGGAUAAUAUUUUGAUCCGCAUGGUUCAAAAGUGAAAUACGGUCUUGCUGUCACUUAUCGCUGGAUCUGGGCUGCAUUAGCUGGUUGGUACGGUAAAGGGUUAUGACGGCAACGAUGCCUAGCCGACCUGAGAGGGGGAUCGGCGACACGGGAAGUGGAACAGGGUCCAGGCUCCUACGGGAGGCAGCAGUAGGGAAUGGGACGCAAUGGGGGAGAGCCUGACGGAGCAACGCCGCGUGAGUUAUGGAAGUGUUCGGUUCGUAAUGCUCUGUUACGAGGGAAGAACAGAUGUGUAAUGAGCUGUGGAGAUAGUGACGGUAACUAAUCAGAAAGCAACGGCUAACUACGUG
rnacentral:rRNA from 1 species